UUCUAUGUUUAAAAUCCUCCAUUUGCUUCCCGAUCCAUGUGUUUUCAGGAUUUUUAUGAUGUACCGCCAACCAGAAAUACGUGCAGCCUGCGAAGUGCACUGCACAUAGCGUAACCUGUGAUAAACCAGCCAAAAGUGAGAAACUGCAACCUCCCCUAGCAGCUCACACUCUGUUCGUGCCCUAUUUCCAAAAACGUUUGCUGCGCUUCCUUCUCACUAUCUUCUUCAUCCAGUAUAUGUGUUGGGCACUCUUGAGUCUCGCCUAUGCCUAAUUGCUAGAGAAACACGUGAAAAGCUUUGAACUAAGAUCAAGAUGACAUCCCAAGAAAGUGAUCACGUCACAUAUUGGCCUAGCGAGCUUUUUGAAGAUUAUACUUCUAUGUGUGAAGAUGAUGAAACUAUGAAUUCUUUUCAAGAGCCACAACAUGAAUCCUCACCUUUAGCUAAUAAUAUUGAUGAGUGGAUUCCUUAUGAAGGGAAAAUAUUUAAUACUGAUGAUGAUGCUUAUGAAUUUUACAAUUUAUUUGCACAUAAAAGUGGCUUUUCGAUUAGACGUGAUCAUAUCUACAAAUCUAGUAAGUAUCAGUCAGAGAAGAAUCCAUUGGGUAUCUAUAAAAGGGAAUUUGUUUGUCAUCGUUCUGGUAAUUCCUAAACAGAGCAAAGUUAGUGAAGUUGAGAACCAGAGGAAAAGAAAGACUUCAAGAUGUAAUUGUGGUUCAAAAAUGGUGGUUACUAAAAGAACAAUUGGCUUUGAUGAAAAAUGGGUGGUUAAAUAUUUUUAUAAUCACCAUAACCAUGAAUUACUAGAUGACAAAGAGGUCAAGUUUCUUCCUGCUUAUCCACAAUCUUGUAUUUUGCAAUUUUUGAUGUUAGUUCUAGACUCUGAACAAAUGAUAUUCGAGUCAUUGAGAAGAAAUUUUAUUUUUUCAGUCUUAAUUGCUGCAAUGUUUGUCUCCCAAGAAGUAGCUAUAGCUGCAACAACUUUCUUUAAGUAUUGCACUGCAACUGUGGUUAAGCUAUUUCGAUUUUAUUUCAUGGCUGUUGAAUGUUGAUUUAUAAAUAUGGUGUUGCAAAUAUGGAUGACA